rnacentral:rRNA from 1 species
CUACCUACGGGACGCAGCAGUGGGGGAUAUUGCACAAUGGGGGAAACCCUGAUGCAGCGACACCGCGUGGGUGAAGAAGCGCUUCAGCGUGUAAAGCCCUAUCAGUGGGGAAGAAAAAGGACGGUACCCAAAGAAGAAGCACCGGCUAAAUACGUGCCAGCAGCCGCGGUAAUACGUAUGGUGCAAGCGUUAUCCGGAAUGACUGGGUGUAAAGGGAGCGUAGGCGGCCUGGCAAGCCUGAUGUGAAAUACCGGGGCCCAACCCCGGGGCUGCAUUG